rnacentral:rRNA from 1 species
GAUGAACGCUAGCGGCAGGCCUAAUACAUGCAAGUCGAACGGAAUAUGAUUUUCGGAUUAUAUUUAGUGGCGCACGGGUGAGUAACACGUACAUAACUUACCCUCAAGAGGGGGAUAGCCUCGGGAAACUGAGCGUAAUACCCCAUAGUAUUAUUGAACGGCAUCGUUUGAUAAUUAAAGCUACGGCGCUUGAGGAUAGAUGUGCGUCUGAUUAGCUAGUUGGUAAGGUAACGGCUUACCAAGGCGACGAUCGGUAGGGGGCGUGAGAGCGUGGCCCCCCCACACGGGUACUGAGACACGGACCCGACUCCUACGGGAGGCAGCAGUAAGGAAUAUUGGUCAAUGCCCGGAAGGGUGAACCAGCCAUGCCGCGUGAAGGAUG